UUAGAAGAAUAACAAGGAAGAAAGAAAGUCAGAAAAAGAAUUGACGAAAUCAAGAAAGAAACAAAUUUCAUACUCUUUGUUUUUCUUUAUACAAUUCAUUUCCUCUAUAUAUUGUAUUUAUUGGUACCACCACCCCACACAUAGAUUUGCUUGUCAUAUUUAUAUGUUUUUGUAUGUGUUUAUUGUUUAAUUUAAAAAAGUCAUUGUAUUCUAAUAUUGUAAUUUUAAGCAGGGGAUGAUCCCCGAUAAACCUCUGUAGUUUUUGAUCACCCCCUCUGCAGGUUUAUCUUUUGUUUUAAUGCUUUUUAUAUUAGAUUGUAAUUUAUAUUGCCUUUAUGAAUCUGUGGAAAUAAGUGAAAUUAAAAACUUUCUUAUAAUUAGUCAGAUAUACUUGAAACUUUCUGCUUCUUUUAAAGUAGUUGUUUAUUUAAGUUGGAUUUCCCUUUAACCAAGGAGUUUGUUAUAUUGCCCCCCCCCCCUUACCUAACAAUAUUAAUUCUACAGUAGAAUGGACACACAUAUUUAUCAUUUGCUGCUUCACUGAUUUAAUGAUAAUAUUCAUUAAUAUAAGAACAUAGAUGUAUAAAUAUAACAAGAACGAAAUAUUUCAGAGUAAUCAAACAAAUCAAGAAAUUCAUUUAUUGAAAAUCAUGCGCACCUUGUAUAUUUAUCUUUCAAGGUCUUUAAUGUGUCAACAGAUAUCAAUUAUUCUUAUGAGAAGUACAACAUCUUGUCACAAACCUUAGGAAUGUGGAGUAGUAGAUGUAGAUUAAAAUGCUUCCCUUUCGAUUGGUGAAGUCUUUAUUUCUUAUAAAAUCUUGAUAUGAGAUCACCUCGACAACGACAUUGUCUUUGGAUUAAUCAUAGGGCAAGUCCAAGAGCUCCAUUAUGUCCCAUACCUUACCCACCACAUCUAAGAUUUCAGUAAACCUAAUGACUGUAUCAAGCUGAUAACCAUUCUAUACCUUUAAAAAAGACUUGAUAUAAUGACAUUUUAAAACAAAUCUAAUGAAAAAAAUAUGCUACACUAAUCUUUGUUCUAUACAGCAUGACUACUAGGAUGUAAAUAAAACGUGAAACAUGUAUAUAGUUAUGUUCAUGGUUAAGAUCAGUUGGAAAAAAAUAUUUCAAAUUGAAUUAGGUCAAACAGCAGAUGAAUUAUAUUUCCAUUCCAGACACAAUUACGGUACAUAUUAAAAUUAAGCAAUACAACCAGAAGAUGUACCUUGGACUUGCCCCCUCCCCUCCCCUCCCCUCCGAAUUAAAAAAAAGUUAAAUAUACCUACCUAGUGAAUCUCCCUGAGAAAAUGAUCAAAUGUUGAAAAAUAAUGAAUUUCCCAACACAUAUUACCUACAAAAUAGUGCUUCAGACUAUACCCAAUGGCUGAAUUCACAAAGGAGGUUUAACUUAACCCAUGGUUAAAACCUUCAUUCACAUAACCCAUGGUUUGAAAAUCAGCACAAAAUAAGCGUUAUGUAAAUGAAGAUUUAAACCAUGGGUUGAAUUUAAACCUCCUUUGUGAUUUCAGGCCAAUGAGUACCGAUAUGCUUUCUUCACAGCUUAAAAAGGCUCAAUAUAAUGACACUUUAUUUAAAACAAUCUAAUUCUGAACAAAAUAUGCUACACUAAUCUGUGUUCUGUACAGCAUGAAUACUAUAUUGUGAAUAAAAACAGAACUGCUCCCAUAAAAAACAAAACAUGAUAUAUAGUUAUGUUCAUGGUCAA